UCUGUGGACCAACCUAUUAGAGGGGCACGAUAAACCCCAUUAUAUUUUUCCUUGGUACGAGAGGCGCAGAGGGUAACUCCUGAGGUAAAGCUUUAGAGUUCACUACAUGCUAAACCACCACAUAAGGGUGAACUCAGCCAACGCCAAGGAACGACUAUGCUUUUAAAUGUAAAAAUGUGUUUUAUGCGUAUAUGAACUUUUCUUUAACAACCUUGGCGGACUCGGUUAGAUGCUUGGGCCAAGGUAUCCCCGAGAAUGAAUUUUGGCACGAGCCAAAAUUUUAAGAAAUUCAUAAGCCAUGUUGAUUAUUUGAGUGAAAUGAA
rnacentral:lncRNA from 1 species